UAUCGGCCACUGUUGAAUGGCUCAGCCGUAGCUGCAUACUAGAGUCAUGUUCGGAAAAUAGAGGCGUGGUGGAAUGUACCAGUCAGCUAUGAUUGGAUAGCUACUGUAGCUCCGCCCCGUUCAUAGUCCCAAACCCAAAACACUCUCAGUCUGUCAGCGACGGUGUAAGAGUGAACAUCUCCCUUGACUGUUAUUUCUAAACUUGUCAAAGCCUUUCACUCAUUUCCAUCCCAGCCCGAAACCGUAUCUGCAGAACAGCACUUUUUUUUUAGGAGAGUUUUGAUAUUCUUGUAUUGUUACGGUACUUUUUGAUACUGUUUGUAACUAUCCAUGUUAUACACUGAAUUUGUCAUUGUAUUUGAAUGUGAAAUUAAAAUAAAAAUUAUUUUUCAAAAAAAUAUAUAUAUAUGUAUGCUUUGUGUACAACGUGGUGCUUUGUUGAAUAAAACGGAAACAAACCAACCAGAAUAUAGUCAUGUCUUUAAUUUCACAUUUCAAUAUUAUAUCACCUCGUUCAUGGAGGUAAUAGACAUUUAGGGAGGCAGAGUAUGACAGUAUGAAAACAUAACAAUGUAAAACAAAAAAUAACAAGUUUAAUGUGUACUCAAUUUCCAGGGGCUUCCUCUACAUGAAGCAGAGCCGUCCUGAGCCUCCAUUACAGGAACUCAGUGCCAGAGUGAACUUCUCCCCUGGCUACUAUUUCAAAGUUGUCAAAGCUUGAAGUCGUUUGACUCAUUUCGAUCCCAGCCCGAAACUGAGAAGUGCCAGGGGCUUUCCCUACAUGAACUUGCCACCUCUCCAGCUCUCGAGAUUCAUUGUUGGUUAGGAAUAAAUAAUAGAGCCACGGUUGGACACUUCAGAAUACAGCCAUGGUUGGACGAGUCAGCCGGGAGUGGAUAGCUGUAUCGGCCACUGUUGGAUGGCUCAGCCGUAGCUGCAUACUAGAGUCAUGUUCGGAAAAUAGAGGCGUGGUGGAAUGUACCAGUCAGCUAUGAUUGGAUAGCUACGGUAGCUCCGCCCCGUUCAUAGUCCCAAACCCAAAACACUCUCAGUCUGUCAGCGACGGUGUAAGAGUGAACAUCUCCCUUGACUGUUAUUUCUAAACUUGUCAAAGCUUGAAAUCUUUCACUCAUUUCCAUCACAGCCCGAAAUCUAUGUAUGCUUAUGUGUACAAGGUGGUGCUUUGUUGAAUAAAACGGAAACAAACCAACCAGAAUAUAAUAAAAAAAUGUAUUUCAUUUCACAUUUCAAUAUUGUAUCACACUGCAUACUAGUCAUGUUCGGAAAAAUAAUAAUAAUAAAAAUAAAAACUGAGAAACAACCUCGGUUGGAAAAAACGGCCUGGUUGGAUAUAAAGCCUCGUUUGGAUAACGGUCUCGGUCGGAUAUAACGCGCCGGCUGGAUAAAACGACCUCGGUUGGAUAAAACCGUGGAUGUAAGUGAAUGGAAAUACAAGUCACUAUAUAACCAGCACUACUCACUGACACUCUACGCUGUAAAACGAAACCAGAAGGGAGCUGCCAACCAUCAUCAUCAGAAGAACAAAUCAGCCAGAAACACUCCGAUUGACUGCUGCUGAGGCUUGAACACUGCCAGAGAGAACUGCGUUGAUUAUGAAGGGGAAAGGUGUAAUGACUGUUUUCCUACUUGCACUUGUUGCAAAAUCCUCCGUGUCUCUUCCGAUCACUAUAACCGUGAUGUUGAAUCACCCAGUUACACCGCCCUGCUCUGGAUCAUGCCAUGGUGGCAGAAAUAAGACGGGAAGGAAAGAUCCAUAGAAUAAAUGGAACAUUCUGCCAUCACUCCGUGGAUCCAAGACCAAGAAAACACAUCCCAUCAGGAAAAACACUGGCAUGUCACGCUCUGCUCUGCCGUCGCUGCCAGCCACCAGCAAGACUGAUACACACUUCAUCCGCGUCUCUCUACUGCCACCGUGCGAUAGUCUCGGCUCCCAUUGUGAACUUCACCCCUAACACACCGGUAUAGCUGAGGGGGAGAGAGAUUCGGAAGAAAUGCUGAGCUCCUCUGCAGCACAGCCCAUUGAAAAUCCUACGAGGCCGCCUACAAUUGACACGCCACAUUGCAUCAACCAAUGGUUGUGUAACAUGUCACUGACAAUAAUAAAAUACAUCUUUCAUGCAGAACUCUCCGUCUUCAGUCAUUCAAAUAAUAUGUUUAGAUAUUAAGGAGGCUGUAUGUUUGUAUUAUCACAGCACUAUAAUAAAAGGGGGGUCCUCAGAAUCCAUUGUGAGACUAAAAACGUCAUAAGUGUCGUCAAUAACAACGACGAGACAGCCUAUAGACAGACAAGAAGCGCAGUGUCUAACAGCGAUGUGCAGCGGAAACAACCUGGAGCUGAACACGACGUCAUAGAGGAUUUUAUAAAGGUUUUAUUUGUUCCGUGUGACUGUUAUACUGUCUACCUCUGUGUACUAUGUAGACCUACUAUAUGUGAGAGAGCUCCAAAUAAUAAUUCCAAUAUAUUACUUUUAAUAGGUACUUGCAAAUGGCAAAUAUACUACUUGAAUAAAAAUGGAUUAAACUACUUGAAUAAAAUGUAGAAAAGCUUCUGAUUGAGUUUGGAACUGUCAGAUAAUUUCUGUAGCACAGAAAUAUAGCGAUAGUAAACUAUAGCGUAAUGAAACAGGCAGGGAGCGGGACUCGAACCCUCGACCUUCUAGCCCGAAGUCCAGCGCGCUAACGACUGUGCCCCAAAAGCAUAUUCAAGCAGAGAGUCGCUAUCCACGCUUAUAAACCCAGGGUCGUUACACUAUAUAAUGAUAUUGUGUAGGUUCGAUGAUAUUUAAGAAAAGGGGACAGAGGACACGGGGACAUGGUUAUGUCAGUUGGAUUAGUCUGCUGGUUUGACGCUCAAAAAGCGGCUUCACUCCGAGGAGCUGCUGUAGUGUUGCCGGCACGGAGAAGUUAGGCUGGGCUCUGUGAGGACGAUGGCAGUCAGAGGAAGGGACACGGCUGCGUUACGACACCAGUCAAAUCGAUGCGCAGCUCUACUAUCUCGGUUGUAGCUCCGCAGGACGAGUCUUUCACAUGAGAACAUCCAACCACGGCUGAAUUGUCCGACCAAUGUUAAGUCAAGUCAGUCACUGUAAAACCAAGCUGUACUGGAUAGAAAAUAGUAGGCAGUAAGUUGACCUACCCGGUCGAAGCGUACUACUAAUCUACUGGAGAAAUGUGUCUCACUUUUGUAAGUGAAUGGAAAUACAAGUCACUAUAAAACCAGCACUGCGUCUCUACUCACUGACACUGAGCUGUCCGAAGAAACCAUAAGGGAGCUGCCAACCAUCAUCAUCAGAAGAACAAAUCAGCCAGAAACACUCCGAUUGACUGCUGCUGAGGCUUGAACACUGCCAGAGAGAACUGCGUUGAUUAUGAAGGGGAAAGGUGUAAUGACUGUUUUCCUACUUGCACUUGUUGCAAAAUCCUCCGUGUCUCUUCCGAUCACUAUAACCGUGAUGUUGAAUCACCCAGUUACACCGCCCUGCUCUGGAUCAUGCCAUGGUGUCAGAAAUAAGACGGGAAGGAAAGAUCCAUAGAAUAAAUGGAACAUUCUGCCCUCACUCCGUGGAUCCAAGACCAAGAAAACACAUCCCAUCAGGAAAAACCACUGGCAUGUCACGCUCUGCUCUGCCGUCGCUGCCAGCCACCAGCAAGACUGAUACACACUUCAUCGGCGUCUCUCUACUGCCACCGUGAGAACUUCACCACUUUACACACCAGCAUAGCUGAGGGGGGAGAGAGAUUCGGAAGAAAUGCUGAGCUCCUCUGCAGCACAGCCCAUUGAAAAUCCUACGAGGCCAACUACAAUUGACACGCUACAUUGCAUCAACCAAUGGUUGUGUGCCAUGUCACUGACAAUAAUAAAAUAUAUCUUUCAUGCAGAACUCUCCGUCUUCAGUCAUUCAAAUAAUAUGUUUAGAUAUUAAGGAGGCUGUAUGUUUGUAUUAUCACAGCACUAUAAUAAAAGGGGGGGUCCUCAGAAUCCAUUGUGAGACUAAAAACGUCAUAAGUGUCGUCAAUAACAACGACGAGACAGCCUAUAGACAGACAAGAAGCGCAGUGUCUAACAGCGAUGUGCAGCGGAAACAACCUGGAGCUGAACACGACGUCAUAGAGGAUUUUAUAAAGGUUUUAUUUGUUCCGUGUGACUGUUAUACUGUCUACCUCUGUGUACUAUGUAGACCUACUAUAUGUGAGAGAGCUCCAAAUAAUAAUUCCAAUAUAUUACUUUUAAUAGGUACUUGCAAAUGGCAAAUAUACUACUUGAAUAAAAAUGGAUUAAACUACUUGAAUACAAUGUAGAAAAGCUUCUGAUUGAGUUUGGAACUGUCAGAUAAUAUCUGUAGCACAGAAAUAUAGCGAUAGUGAAAUAUAGCGUAAUGAAACAGGCAGGGAGCAGGACUCGAGCCCUCGACUUUCUAGCCCGAAGUCCAGCGCGCUAUCGACUGUGCCCCAAAAGUAUAUUCAAGCAGAGAGUCGCUAUCCACGCUUAUAAACCCAGGGUCGUUACGCUAUAUGAUGAUAUUGUGUCGGUACGAUGAUAUUUAACAAAAGUGAUAGUGUCUCCCCAGGAAAUGAACACUCUGCCCUUUGAUGUUACAUGUUCAUACUCCGCGAAGCGAACACUGGUGCCAUCUCUGGAUAUGACCACAUCCGUGCAGGAUGAUUCCAUCUGGUCAUCUGGGGUAGACUUGUAGGGUUGCGUUUUGUGCAGGUUUGCAUGGAUUACAUUGGUACAACUCUGACACCACCGAACCCCCCACUGACACCACCGAACCCUCCUCUGACACCACCGAACCCUCCUCUGACACCACCGAACCCUCCUCUGACACCACCGAACCCUCCUCUGACACCACCGAACCCUCCUCUGACACCACCGAACCCUCCUCGUUGUUCGUUUUGCUGAGCAGCACGGCCAUGAACACUGAGCCAUCAUAGACAGUACGCUUGCCUGGAUCACAUUCAUGACUUGUGGUUGUGUGAGUCAUGGCUCUAGUCCACUGUGUGUUGACAAUCUGUACUGCUAUGGGAUCCUAAGAGUUUAACAGAGCUUUAGGUUUCCAGUGAGCUCUCUUGGGCACAUUUAUUCAAAAGGUAAUGGCCAACCAAGAGUCUCAAACCUAGGCUACAAUAUCCAGCCUUGGCCUGUCUAUCCCACAAAGACAACAGCCCUGAAUGACUAACCCAGGCCUGAUAAUCCAACCAAGAGUCUCUAACCUAGGCUACAAUAUCCAGCCCUGUCUAUCCCACACAGACAACAGCCCUGAAUGACUAACCCAGGCCUAAUAAUCCAACCAAGCGUCUCUAACAUAGGCUACAAUAUCAAUGAGCUUUGUUGAAUAAAAGCGAAACAUACCAACCAGAAUAUAGUUAUGUCUUUAUUUUCACAUUUCAAUAUUAUAUCACGCUAUUUCACAACAGACAGUCAGUCCUAAGUGUAGUCAAUUUCCAGGAGAGUCCCCUACGCGAAGCAGGGCCGUCCUGAGCCUGGCCUACACAAACUCUGUCAAAGCUUGAAGUUGUUUCACUCAUUUCGAUCCCAGCCUGAAACCGAGAAGUGCCAGGGACUUCCUCUACAUGAACUUGGCACCUCUCCAGCUCUCGAGAUUCAUUGUUGGUUAGGAAUAGAUAACAGAGGUUGGACAUAUCAAAUAGCGUGCAGUUUGGACGUAUCAGUCGUGAUUGGAUAGCUAUAUGAGACGCUGUUGGAUAGAUUAGCCAUGAUUGGAUAG
ensembl:lncRNA